rnacentral:rRNA from 1 species
GAUGAACGCUGGCGGCGUGCCUAAUACAUGCAAGUCGAGCGAAUGGAUUAAGAGCUUGCUCUUAUGAAGUUAGCGGCGGACGGGUGAGUAACACGUGAGUAACCUGCCCAUAAGACUGGGAUAACUCCGGGAAACCGGGGCUAAUACCGGAUAACAUUUUGAACCGCAUGGUUCGAAAUUGAAAGGCGGCUUCGGCUGACACUUAUGGAUGGACCCGCGUCGCAUUAGCUAGUUGGUGAGGUAACGGCUCACCAAGGCAACGAUGCGUAGCCGACCUGAGAGGGUGAUCGGCCACACUGGGACUGAGACACGGCCCAGACUCCUACGGGAGGCAGCAGUAGGGAAUCUUCCGCAAUGGACGAAAGUCUGACGGAGCAACGCCGCGUGAGUGAUGAAGGCUUUCGGGUCGUAAAACUCUGUUGUUAGGGAAGAACAAGUGCUAGUUGAAUAAGCUGGCACCUCGACGGUACCUAACCAGAAAGCCACGGCUAACUACGUGCCAGCCGCCGCAGUAA